UAAAUAUGAAAACAAUUAAAUAUUGUGUCGUCUCCUCCUUUUUUUGUUUUUGUUUUUUUCUUUUGUGGCCACCUUUUGCACUAGACCAUCCCCAUUAUUGGUGGUAUUGGCCUAUGAGUUCCACAUGACAAAUUCAAGUCUUAUUUAUUUAAUGUAGAAGGAAGUAAAGUAUUAAUUUCUUAUCUGCCAUGCAGAAUUAGACAAAUAGAGUUUGCUUAUGAAAGGAAAGAGGCAUACUUUUUAAUUGGUCUACACAGAAAAGUAAAAGUAAAUUAUUCAUUUAAAUAAGAUUCAUUAUCUAAUGAACAUUGAAGGAAAUAUUUUUCCUAAAUAAAAAAUAUUGUGACUCCUAAUAAAA
rnacentral:lncRNA from 1 species